AUGUUGUUAAAUUAUAACAUUUCUAAGGUCAUCGAAAGACUGAUUUAAAAAAAGGGGUUAUUUUUUUUCUCUUCCCAUGGAGCCAUGUGAGUCUGAUUUUAACGAUGUAUCUAACACACACCUCACAACCCCUGAUAUUAUUAAAUCUACAGCGCCCACACGCCCGCUCUAUCGCUCUUGCCCACCAGCAUUUACAGCACACCUCAAUCAUGUGCGUCAUAUCUGACCAUCAGUUCCAUCAGUCCCCCUCAACACUGCGCACUGUUGUCACUUGCGUCCCUUUAUAAAAUUGCCCUUAUCACCCUCUCCAACCCCCCUAGUCCUCAAAGCCCUCAAUCCCUCCAGUCAGAGUUAAUCAACAUCAGACCAAUCACCUCCACUUACAUCAUAUAUUUAAUUCACAAAUCCGACACAUGAAAUAUUCAUGCGAUGAGUCGGACGGGUCCACAACUGGUAGCAAGCAGGUCAAGCAGACAAAGGCCCAGAGCUUUGAAUCUAUACAAAUUCAUUUCCUGAACAACUUAUCUGAAGUUUGAUGGAUUUUUUUUCUUACUAAAAUCAAGGAAUUGUAAUUGCACAAUUUAUAUUAGUGCUUCAAAGUAAAAUUUAAUCACAAGAUAAUUAAAAUAUUACUAGUGUAGUCACAUUCCAACAAUGCACAUUACAUUGGUAGUAGACGAUACAUCUAAUUUAAAAAUGUAUCUAAAUCUUGAUGAUUCUAUUGUAUGCAGCCACUUAACAAAAUAAACGAGUAAAUUCAACACACCUUUUUUUUCAGUGUACCUUACAUGCAGACAUGUACACAAAUAAAUACAUAAUCUGCCAAUGAAGCCUCACUGUGUGUCACCCCCCUUGUUCCGAUGAAAUGAAUAGCUGCGACCGGUGUUCGCCUCAAUCUGUUAGCUUUCAAGCUAGCAUUGGAAGCAUCAGCUACCUCCCACUGCCCGUGAAGUGAGCAGUAACACGUUACGCCACCGGAGCUAAAGACAGUAGAACGUUGUGCCUACGGCGUGUUGUAAAACAUACAUAGCAAGCGACUGCCAAGUAUUUUUGUUGUUUUCAACCUGCAACGUGACAAAUUACAUUUUUUUAAAUAUUCAUGCCAGUCAAUGUUACAGGCGUGACGAGGGAGCGUAUACUGAUAUUCGGAACAAAAUAUGAACCAUCAUUAAGCUCUAUCGUCUGCACGAGUUGAACGCUGGGCGAUGACUAUUUUUCUGUAUUUUCGGACCACACAAUCGUUAAGAAUUGUCAAAAAUGAAAAAAAUAAUGGAUUGUGCAUAGGAUUUAAAAGCUAUUGUUAUCGCACCCUUCAUGGAAAAUAAUUUCUUCAGUAAUUGGAGGAAAAACAUUAUGAGAAACACAACAGUACGCUGACUGAUAAAAGUUGAAUUAAAGGAGUUGAAAAGUGGAUAAUGGUGAAAAUGGACGGAUAUAGAAGCAGAUAAGAGGAAGGAGAAAAGGCGUUAAGGAGAAUACUAAUCGCUGUGAUUCACCCCUUCAUUCCGCAGCUACCUGGGGAGCUCGGGAGGUCGCAUGGCAUCAGUCAGAUACAUCUGGAGGUCGAAUAGAGAGAACAAGCAAGGAGGAGAGGCAAAGAAACAGAAGACUUAAGGAAGAUGAGAAGCACUGCAAUAUGGACAUGUCAGCACUCUUAAAGUCUGAAAACAGCAGUUCCUUUCCAUCAGGCCGACCGUCUGUCAAAUCCACCGGGACAGAACGGAGACGGUGCCAACCUGUCAUUCCGGCCCACGACGAAAGCCAUAUAUAUUACAUGCGCUACCCACACAACGCAACACUCAAGAAGCAUCAAGCUGGCAGGGCAAAGAGUCAGCAGGAAAGGAGCGAGACGGUUUUUGCUGCAGGCCUCUCAAAGAUGCGGAUGAUUAGACAGGAAGUAGAGCAAUGUUUUGGGGUUUCAACAAGAGGGUCCACACCGCAGAGGUUGGAGAGAUCAUAUCAACACGGAAGACUCUCAACAAGAUGUUGCAGUGUGUCUGACAAAAAAAGGGGUGGGAAGUGAUAAAAAUAGAGCGAUUCCGAUACCAUUGAUACAGCUUAUUGAUAAGAUUACUUAAUGGUUCUCUCAUCAAUUCUCUUUGGGUGAGGGAAUGAAAUGAUGCAUCAUUUCACACCUCCAGUAAAUCAAAAUGACAAAAAAAAA